UUAACGCGAUAUCGAUGGCGACGUCAUGAAGAUGACGCCGGAGGCGACCUGGAGACAGGUACAGCUACAGCUGCGAUCAGUUUUCACUGAUUUGAGACCUCGCAAUACCUCAACAUCUUGCAUUCCCUGAUGCACAGAUAUCCGUUA
ncrna:Salmonella enterica subsp. enterica serovar Montevideo str. SARB31 EFASI RNA